rnacentral:rRNA from 1 species
CACAUGCAAGUCGAACGGUGAAGCAGAGCUUGCUCUGUGGAUCAGUGGCGAACGGGUGAGAAACACGUGAGCAACCUGCCCCUGACUCUGGGAUAAGCGCUGGAAACGGCGUCUAAUACUGGAUAUGAGCUGCGAUCGCAUGGUCAGCAGUUGGAAAGAUUUUUCGGUCUGGGAUGGGCUCACGGCCUAUCAGCUUGUUGGUGAGGUAAUGGCUCACCAAGGCGUCGACGGGUAGCCGGCCUGAGAGGGUGACCGGCCACACUGGGACUGAGACACGGCCCAGACUCCUACGGGAGGCAGCAGUGGGGAAUAUUGCACAAUGGGCGAAAGCCUGAUGCAGCAACGCCGCGUGAGGGAUGACGGCCUUCGGGUUGUAAACCUCUUUUAGCAGGGAAGAAGCGAAAGUGACGGUACCUGCAGAAAAAGCGCCGGCUAACUACGUGCCAGCAGCCGCGGUAAUACGUAGGGCGCAAGCGUUAUCCGGAAUUAUUGGGCGUAAAGAGCUCGUAGGCGGUUUGUCGCGUCUGCUGUGAAAUCCCGAGGCUCAACCUCGGGUCUGCAGUGGGUACGGGCAGACUAGAGUGCGGUAGGGGAGAUUGGAAUUCCUGGUGUAGCGGUGGAAUGCGCAGAUAUCAGGAGGAACACCGAUGGCGAAGGCAGAUCUCUGGGCCGUUACUGACGCUGAGGAGCGAAAGGGUGGGGAGCAAACAGGCUUAGAUACCCUGGUAGUCCACCCCGUAAACGUUGGGAACUAGUUGUGGGGUCCAUUCCACGGAUUCCGUGACGCAGCUAACGCAUUAAGUUCCCCGCCUGGGGAGUACGGCCGCAAGGCUAAAACUCAAAGGAAUUGACGGGACCCGCACAAGCGGCGGAGCAUGCGGAUUAAUUCGAUGCAACGCGAAGAACUUACCA